AGUUGCCAUCAUUAAGUUGGGCACUCUAAACAGACUGCCGGUGACAAACCGGAGGAAGGUGGGGAUGACGUCAAGUCAGCAUGCCCCUUACGUCCUGGGCUACACACGUACUACAAUGGGAGUUAAUAGACGGAAGCGAGAUCGCGAGAUGGAGCAAACCCGAGAAACACUCUCUCAGUUCGGAUCGUAGGCUGCAACUCGCCUACGUGAAGUCGGAAUCGCUAGUAAUCGCAGGUCAGCAUACUGCGGUGAAUACGUUCCCGGGCCUUGUACAC
rnacentral:rRNA from 1 species